rnacentral:rRNA from 1 species
UACGAAGGGGGCUAGCGUUGCUCGGACUUACUGGGCGUAAAGGGCGCGUAGGCGGAUGUUUAAGUCGGGGGUGAAAGCCCAGGGCUCAACCCUGGAAUUGCCUUCGAUACUGGACAUCUUGAGUGCGGGAGAGGUGAGUGGAACUCCGAGUGUAGAGGUGAAAUUCGUAGAUAUUCGGAAGAACACCAGUGGCGAAGGCGACUCACUGGCCCGUUACUGACGCUGAUGCGCGAAAGCGUGGGGAGCAAACAGG